rfam:Schistosoma curassoni strain Dakar, Senegal genome assembly, scaffold: SCTD_scaffold0000025
AUCCAGUUGACGAGUUCCAAAUAGGACGAAACGCGUGUUCUGAAU